rnacentral:lncRNA from 1 species
UUAACAAUUCUUUUAUUUCUAUUAAACAUAAAAAAAAGGAAAGAAAAAGAAAUGCAAAGAAGUAAGGGAGAUAGAGGAAUACGGGAACUGAGGUCUACCACACAAACAUCUUGAAGCAUUUCGGGAUCACUUUACUUGAGCUCAGUUUCUCCACGUAUCAUAUCCUUUUCAGCAAGGGCUGCCCUUUCAAGUAGUGUUUUGCUCUCUUUCUUCAUUAGCUCACCAGAAAGGUUCAGCUCAUUUACAUUUUUCUCAGCUCUAACAAACAUUGCCUGUGUAUAUAUUCGAACAAUUACUGAAUCACACAAAAUUUUGAACCUGAGAGUUUACCUCAGUUGAAAUGAACAUGUUAAAAAAGAAUUUUAUGCAACUGUUACUUCUAUUAGUAGGUUGAUAGGGUAAAAAUAGCAUCUAUAAAUUAAAAGAGGUACAUGCCUCCUCACUUCGAAGUCGACCAAAGGUAUGACGAAACAAAAAUCUUCUAGGCCCUGCAGUGAAAUCCUCGAGGAAUCAAAUCUUAUAGGAUUUUGGAAUGGCACAUACUGAUACAUUUAAUGCAGCCAAGAAGUAUAAAAUGCAAGAAAAAAGUGUGCAAAGAUGGCCAGGGCAGAACACGUCCAAGGGAUUCCAUAUUCAAAAAUACGCUAGAGAGGCUUAUUUAAAUGGUUGAAACCUAAGAGUGGAUAUAUCUCACUACCAGCACUAGUGACGGGAAAGCUGAACAUAUUCAUCUUUGGACUUCAAAACAGGACAGCAUAAACAAAUAAGGAAACAGUCAUACAAUAUGGUUGAAAUUAUCAAAUUAAACUGAAGUCAAGAGUAACAACCUGCUGCCCAUUGAUGACCAACAUUAAGCAUGCUUAACAUUCUGUUAGACUAAUCAGCAGCAGUAGUGUUCAAGAUCACAACAAAAGUGACAACAAAAAGUGUCAAAGCACUAGCAGUAGCAGCAGCAGCAGCCAUGGUUACAAAAGUUCAAUUAUGAUCUUGUUAUUGCUGCAGGCAAAUAGAAAGAAAGAAUAAAAGAAAUGCUGAGAAAUUAAAUUUUUUUAUCAGCUUAUCCACUCCCACUCCACUCCCCUCGUCCUCGCCAUUUUCUUUCUUCUCUCAACAGUACCACUGCCGAUGAUGACAAGACCGUCGACGACGACAUGGUCAUCGCCAAGUUAUUUAUUUCAUGAUUUCUCUCUUACGCACUCAUACAUAGUUUCCAUGUACUAUGAAAGAAAGACACGUAAACCAUUAGAUUAUCAUUUUCUACUUGUGCUAAUUGACAUCACUGAUCUCAGGCUUUCUUCUAAAACAAAAUCAAAGCAGAAGUAUCUCAUCACAAAGAGUAAGUACACAGCAAAAGUAAGAAUUUUUAUUCAUAAAAGCUUAAACCUUUUUCCGUUUAAUGUAUAUAAUAAAAACAGAGGUACUUCGUUCUCAAAACAACGAGUCAAUCAAAAGCUAACAAACUUUUUCCCCCUAGUGAACCAGUUGCUUAUCUCCUCCAAUAACAUUUUGUUCAUCCAUUCAAAAGAGUAGAUAAGCAAGAUCAUAAAAGAAACACAAAACCCACAAAAACAGAAAUCUUGUACACAUUAAUAUAGAACAAUGACAUAUCUACAAAAAAUAAUGAGGAGAGUGUAAACAGAGGAAGAAGAAAUGUAGGGAAUUACCCUGAAGAGAAGGGGCAAGAUUGAGAGGGAAAAAUUGAGUUGGAUCGAGAGCAGGCUCAACCGCAAGGGAGAGGAAGCGAAACCUGUAUUGUUGAGCUGAGCCAGCGAGAUGAUGGAAUGCAAUGGGAUGGAUGGUAGAGGGUUGCUUGCGCCCAAAAGCGAUGAUUCACUGCGGUUCCCUCCAGUCCGUUCCAUUCCCGGGUUGGGUUAGGGGAACAUUCGAGCGAUUGCCUUCGCGGAUCCAAACGCGCUCGUCGGUACGCUUUCCGGCUCGCAACGACUCAAAUGGGUGAGUCUUCUUCGUUUUCCUUUCUCCUUCGGGUAGUUGAAGAGAGACAAGAUUGAGAGGGAAAAAUUGAGUUAGAUAGUAAAAGAUUGUGUUGGAUUGUAAGAGAAAGAUAAGAGAGGAGUGGCUGAGAGAAGAGUCGGGGUUGAUAAGACGACGCAGUAAGAUUAGAGUUUUGUGAAUUUGGUGAAGUUAGGGUUUUUUAGAUUUGGGGAGUUUAGGAGGGACAAGAUAGAUUAAAAAUUUUGUCUAAAUUAAAAGUUUAAAAAAUAAUGUUUGGUUUAGUAGUUAGUUUUCUAAACUAGAAAAUUUGAGAUUUGGACGUCCUGGUCUUUUGUUCGGAACUUAAACGCCUCGGUUCGAGUUUUAUUUGGAACUUAAUUAGAAUUACUUUAUUUUUAUUACUGAUACUUUAAUGUCAGAAAUCUCUGAUGUUUAAGUUACAGACACUAUAGUAUCAGUAAUUUGUGAUAUUUUUAUGUUAAACACGAAAAAUGGUUCAUAUGUGUGAACAUACUGAUACUUUUUAAAAAUUGUCACAAACUGAGUGUCAAUAAAGACCAUUUUUCUAGUAGUGUUUCUUCCAAGAAACCAAAUGAGGUGGUCUAUGGGAAGGCAUGAUAAUCUUCAAUCCCUCCCGAAUUUGAGUGUCCAAGAUGCCCCUCAAUUGAGAUGUCUUGAAACCAAAUGCGUCACUGACUAGCCUAAUAUCCAGGAGCACUUUAAAAAUAACAGUGUUCACAUUAAAGGCAACUGAAUCAUACCUGAAAGUGUUUCGAGCCUUCCAAACAUGCCAUAGAAUGAAACAUGGGAGAAUGACUCGAAUGUGUUUUGAAGAACGGCAACUCCGUCGCCAAUGACUAAGCAAAGCAUGAGGAGAUAAAAAAGGAAGAUACGGACGACCAAUCAUUGAGUAAAACCGCCGCCAAACCUGUUGAACCACUGGGCAAUCCAAAAAUAAGUGUCUGAUAGUCUCAACAUCCCGAUUACAAAGACACCGAGAAAUCAUGUGAAAACCCCUAAGGCACAAAGCAUCAUUCGUGGCCAAGAAACCAUUCAAUAAACGCCACAAGAAAAAAGAAACCCUCGAAGGAAUAUGUCGUUGCCAAAUUAAAGAAAAAACCUCAUUCUGGCUACGAGACCCACGUACAAAUUCCCAACUACUCCUUAGAGAAAAAUUCCCAUCCCUAGAUAUGGCCCAACGGAGAAUAUCUAGCCCAGUACCAGAAAUAGGUACUAAUACAAUUUGUUCAACAACUGAUAUAAAGCAUUGCAUUAUAACGGAGAAUAUCUAGCCCAGUACCAGAAAUAGGUAUGUUAGGGUGUUUAAGGGUAUGAGAAGUCCAAAAUAAUUCUGCCCAGUACUGUAGGAAUUGCUGUAGCAACUGGUGUUAAUUUGAACAAAAAUAGUCAGCCCAUGAACAGAGUUUGAUCAUUCAACUACUUCAUUCUCAUUAAAUUCUUUUUAUGCAAUUCAUCUAGUUUACUUCAUUACUGCAUUUAUUUGUUUUAUUUUCUUACAAUUGUUAAUUUCAGUAGUAAUCAACUUUAACUAGAUUCCUCUUGAACUAAAGGAAGUUUGCACUAUCGUGAUUGCUGUAGCAUUUCUAGUAACAUCAGUCCCUGUGGAGACGAUCUUAAAUAUUCAUCACUUUAUUACUUGUUGUGUACACUUGCACAUUGACAUUAAUAGCAAUUGAGUAUAAAUAACCAACAAAAAGAGAAUUAAAGAUUUAAACUAAGGGCUACAACAAGGAGAAUUUGUAGAAAUCAAUAAGGAAUUCAACCCUUUUUAUUCUUCUCUUGUUUUCUAUUUAUUCAUUGGGAUGUAUUUAAUGACUGAAACUCAUUUAUUUAUUGUUCUUUCGCAAACCAUGAACUAAUUUAAUUGUGGUUGAGUGAUAGAUAAUCUUAAUGGUUUUUUGACUAAGUUUAUAUGUUGCUGCAUGUUUGCUAUAGCAUUUUGUUUUGGUAAAGCUUAUUCUAUUCAUUAUUUCGGUUGACCACCCAUUUAAUGAUACAAGCUAAGAAAGAGCCACAAAAUGGCCUAUCUUAAUGGAACAUAUAAGAGCAAUACUUGAUUUUAGAUUUGGUUUCCUGAGUUGAGUUUCACUUGAUUCCAAAAGGGUCAUGCUUAAUCUAAAAUUAGUGAUGAACUAGACAUAAGGAUUCACCUUUUAGGGUAAAUAUAUUUUAAGUGUGUAAUGUUAUAUCUUAUGUUGGCAUAACAAUUGGUCACUAUUCGGUUGCAUAUAGAUAUAAGACAUCCAACAUGCCAUAGCUAAGGAUAUAUAAGGAUUUUGCCUAGUGCUGUAGCAGAUGCUAUAGCAACUGAACCGGAAAUUACAAGAAAUAAUCAAAACUAUUAAAAAAGUUUAAUCACUCAACUACUUCAUUCCCAUUGUUUACUUUUGUGUUUGACGUGAGAAUUUAAUUUAUUGAAUUUUUAAUUAUUGCAUUUUAUAUUUUAGUUAGUUAUUUAAUUUUAUCAAUUUUCUUAUUUAAAUUUAGAACCAUUGCACUGUUACAAAUUGAUGUAUUAAAUCUGGUAACAUCAAUCCACGUGUAGAUGAUCUUGAAUACUUAUUAUUAUAUUACUUAUUGUGUACACUUGUACAUUGACACCAAUAGCAUUUGAAUUCACAAUAACACUCAACCACAUUGGUUCUACGCUACAACUCUAACAAUGAUAUGUCAUACAAGCAUGAAUCCUCAAAAUUACAUAUCAAUCAUUUGAGUUUUGAGUUCAUACUUAUCAUUCUCCACUUUGAACUCAUAACUUUAACUACUCUCGUCAGCUAUCUUCCUCAACACUUGUAGCCAUUAAAACCUACAAAUCUUUGUUAAGUCAUGCGAAGAUUAAACUUAGCAGAUGGUACAACUUUGGUAAGCAUAUCAGCUUGAUUUUCUUAUGUAUGUAUCUUCAUAAGCUUCACACAUUUUGUUAAUACUUCUAAUCUUAUAAAAUACAACUUCACAUCAAUAUGCUUUAUUCUCUCAUUUGAUUUCUGAGUUGAUCUUUUGAAACUGUCCCUUGAAGACUUCCUUAGAACAUAGUCCUUACAAAGUUCCAGUGUAACACUCCACUAUAUUAUUUACUUAAAAUACUUAAAAACACGGUUACUUUUAAUAUAAAUACGAAUUCUAAGAGUUUACAACAAACAAACCUUUUUUACAAAAAGUAAGAGUCAUACAGAAACUCCUUAGUAUAAAAACUUUAUUUUAUACAAAACUAAGAUGUUUAUUUUUAUUGAAACAAAGCUGAGCCCAUUAUAAAAUCCCAAGGUCUAUCAUGCCCAUAUGCACUUCGUCUUGAUUAGGACUUGGCGCCAGCUUGCCCUACUCAUCGUUACUUGCAAUGUAAGGACUUAGUGUGCUAAUGCCCAGUAAGAUAACACUUUGAUGCAUGUAUAAAUUAUGAUGUAUAUAGAUGACCAUAGUAAGCUCUUAAAAUAAACUUAGAAAAUACAAAACAACUUUAUUAGGGCCCUAGGUAUGUUGCACUACAAGGCUGACACUUUUAUUCUUUAAACAAUAUGCCCUUAGGUCUCAUUAAUUGAUCUUUUGGGUGUUAUGUAUUGCCGUCCCCAAAAGAUUUCUUUUAACUUAGCUUUGAGGGGUUGCCCUCCUUAGAACUUUGCCACCUGGUAGUACAACUACCUAUUUUUCAUAAAUUCAUUUUUCUGAAACAUCUUCUUCAUAAUGUAACUUAUGUCCUAACAUUUGAGCUCCUAAAUGCAUAACAGAAUUAACACACAACACUAUUUAAGAACAACAUUCUUCAAUACAGGCAGCAUAGCCGACUAUAGCAUAAUUAAAUAUAAGUAUCACAUAUUAGGUGGCAGAGCCGACCAUUUAAGGAUUUAGAAUAUAACUAAUCAUGUUAUAAUAGCCAUCAUAAUAUAAAGGAAUUGUUAACACCGAACUUAAGUAUGAAAUGAAUUUUGUCCCUACAUUGCAGUUGAAGUGUUACUUACCUCUUGACCUUGACUUCUCUAGACCUUUCUAAAUUGAUGAUUUCUCUACUCUUGAUAUUAUGACUUAGAAUAGAAGAGAAUGAAAUUUAUAGGUUGGAUUGAAAAUGAAAGGUGGUUGGGGUAUUUAUAGGAUUUCUUAAGGCUAAUAGAUGGUUAGGAUUUUGCCACCAUAACUCUUGAUCAAUGGUUGAGAUUAACCUUCAUAAAUAACUUACUAAAUUCUAUAAUUCUUAACUUUCUCUACACUUCUUCUUACAUCAUCGCUUAUGUCAUCGCUUACGUCAUCAUUUCUUAUGUCAUUGCUUAUGUCAUCAUUAAUUAAAUAUUAUAAACUUAAGGGGCUUGUUAGCUUAAAAAAAUAAAUUCUACUAUAUUUAAGAAAAUUGUACCUCACAUCCAGAUUUAUAAUCUUGUCAGAACAAAACAUACCCUGUUUUUCUAACUUUUUUAAGCCUUUCCCACUCGUGUUAUAAUCUCAUAUGCCAUAACCUAGUUUUAUCUUCAGUACGCUUUAUUGAUACACAUGCCUCUCCAAAUAUCACUUCAUCAUCCAAGAUAUAAAACCUGUUCUACCUAGUCCCCUUCAUGACCAGAUUAGAACCAUUUAAGAUAUAUAACUGUCUUGAUUCAAGCCUAACGCUACACCCCAUUUGAUAUAACAUUCCAAGGGAAAUUAAGUUCCUUUUUAAGUUUGGUACAUGCCUGACUUGCUUAACCACUCUUAUUGAAUCAUCAUGUAGCUUAAGACUAAGAUUACCAAUUCUAAUGAUUUUACAAAUUGAAUUGUUACCCAUCAUCAUUCUCCCACUAUCAAAUUCUUGUUAUUCAGUAAAGUAACUCUUAAAAGGGACAUAUGUGAAAUGUGCAUACAAAGUCUAGAGCCCAUUUACCUUUUUAGCUAUGUUCUAUUGCCACACAUACACUAGUAGACUCAUAACUUUCCUCUUCCACUACAGCUGCAUCUCCACCUUAGUUUCUUGAAUCUUUGGCCUUGUUUUUUUUUUUUUCUUUCAAGGCAAUCCCUUUUAAAGUGGCAUUUUUUGUGGCACUGAAAAAUACUUCAGAUUUUUAGUUUUAUUAUUUUAUUUCACGUACUUCUUUUUUUUGCCUAUCUUCCCCUUUGUUGUCAAUCAUUCACUCGUACCAUUCUCUAUGUGAACUUACUUUUCUUGGAGCUCCCUUGUAUUGAGAGCAUAUUUCAUUUCAUCAAGGGUCAAGGUUUAUCUACCAUACACCAGGGCAUCAACUAAAUUCUCAAAGGAUUUUGGUAAUGAACUAAUCAAUAAGAGAGCCUUCCCUUCAACAUCAAUGGCUUUUAAAAUAUCACACACCUUAUUGAACUUAUCAGUGUGAUCUUUCAGUGAAGAUCGCUCCACUAUUCUCAAGGUAAACAUCCUCUUUUUAAUAUAGAGCUUGUUUGCACGAGACUUGGUCAUAUAGAGGCAUUCAAGCUUAGUCCAUAAACCAGCUAUUGUUUUUUCUUUUGCCACUUCCCUAAUGACUAAAUCACCAAGACUAAGGAUUAUAGUGCUUAUGGAUUUCUUAUCAAUUUUAGUAGCUUAUUCUGGAGUCCUGGAUGAAGAAGCUUUUAUUCCCUCCUUCUUGGUCUCAGGCUCAAUUACAUUUACCAAACCUUGAGUAAUCGACAAAGUUUCCAUUUUAAUAUUCCAUAUAUUAAAAUCAUUAUUACCUGUAAAUUUCUCUAUAUCAACCUUGGAUGAUGCCGUACUUGGAUCUGAUCAAAAGACACUAAGCUCUGAAACUAAUUGUAGUAAGAAACUUGUUUUUAAAGUAAACAAAACUGAUCACUGCCCAAGAUCUCUUUGAUCAAAUAAAUUCAAGUUGCACAAAUACAAGAUUAAACAUAUCAAAUCAUUAUCAAUACAUCAACAAGAAUCGAUCAAUAAGCUUUUAGAUAAGCUUUUAUUGAUUCAAUAAUAGAGUCGGUUAUAGAGCCUUACACCAGAACAAGAUAAUGAUUUCUCUUUCUUAAAUCUCUUUCUCCAAGACUUUAGAAUCACACCUGAAGAUAACUAUCAAAACCAGCUUAUAUACCUUACUUCAAUAACAGACUUAUUUCCAGAUUGUACAGUUUGUUAACACGUGGUUAACAAACUUAACUAAUAUGAAAUCAAGCUCCAGCACAUGUUUCCUCACGCGGUUACUUAAACUAUUGACCAAAACACACAAUUGGCAUGUCGUUUCGUGAAGACAUUUUUCUGUUAUAUGUAAUAUGAGUAGCACGUGACUUUAUAAAGCUUCUCAAGUCUCAAACAUUGUCAUUUUCUAGAGAAUUGGUUUGAUUCACCGGCCAUCUUCAUAUCACCUUUAUUAUUACAUGUGAUAAUGAAUUUUUCUUGUAAAUUGUUUUCAUUCCUUAUCAUAAAUGUUUGCUUAUCUACCUUUUCUGAACGCUCACUACUAGAAAAAUGAUCUUUACUGACGUUAGAAUAGUGUCAGUAAUUACUUUCACUGACACUUGCUAAUUGUGUCAGUAAACUGACAGUCAGAAAAAUAGUGACACUUGUAAGUGGUGUCAGUAAUUACUAUUACUACAGUAUUACUAUAUUUAUGACACUAUGGUAUUAGUAGUUAUUGAUAUUUUAUUAGUGUUUGUGAUUACUGUUACUAUUGCAUCACUGUUUAAUUUAUUUUAAAAAAAUAAAAAUUUGAAUUGGUUGUUGAUUUAUUGGUGAAAUUAAAAAACACCACAAAAUAACCACAAAAAAACUUGAUAUAUAUUACAAAAUCUUUAAUUUCUUAUUUAAAUAUUAUUAGUAUAUAUUACAAAUCCCAAAUACUUCAAAAAACAAGAUAUCCUAUUCUCGCAACUAAAUAAUCUUAAAUACAUAAGAAUUUCUACCAUCCAAUCAAAUGCCUACUAAUUGCGGCUACAUUUAACAAAUUUAGAAGCUAAAUUGAUAAGAAUGACUGCCUUUCACUCUUUAAACAUAAGUAGUGCAUUUGUGUUAUCACACUAGCAGUUUCUCUGUAAUGUUGCUUCAGCUGAAAGCUCAUGAAAUAAGAAAUUCUUGUCUUCUUGAUUAGGAGACUUGGGAAGGGGAUCUGCAAAGAGUAGCUGCUGCCCUGGAAAGUGCUCCUGCCUAGUGAUUUUGUGUGCCCAUAAUAUUGAACUUGAGAUGAGCCGGCCUGCACGCCUGCAUUGCUAUAAAAACGCUCAUAUAAUUGCUUCUGUGGAGCUUUGGACCGCCAAGAUAUGAACACAACCACAGUGCCAUUUAUUGCAUAAAAUAUAAAUGCCACGCUAACUUGACUAAUUUUACAAAUUUGGUGAUGAUGCAUUUAAGAUUAUGGUUUAAAAGAAUAAUUCAAAGACAACAGUUUCAAUUGCCAGAUUAACAAUUCUUUUAUUUCUAUUAAACAUAAAAAAAAGGAAAGAAAAAGAAAUGCAAAGAAGUAAGGGAGAUAGAGGAAUACGGGAACUGAGGUCUGCCACACAAACAUCUUGAAGCAUUUCGGGAUCACUUUACUUGAGCUCAGUUUCUCCACGUAUCAUAUCCUUUUCAGCAAGGGCUGCCCUUUCAAGUAGUGUUUUGCUCUCUUUCUUCAUUAGCUCACCAGAAAGGUUCAGCUCAUUUACAUUUUUCUCAGCUCUAACAAACAUUGCCUGUGU